UAGAAGGGCAAAUCAUGAUCAUCCUACUGCG
rnacentral:piRNA from 1 species